AACCCUUCCUCCGCCGGAACCCAGGCUCGGAAGGUGAGCAGGGGUGAGCGCAGCCACUGCCCAACGCAAACCGUGAAGAAGCUUCUGGAAGAGCAGAGGCGCCGCCAGCAGCAGCAGCCCGACGCUGGCGGGGUGCAGGGACAAUUUCUCCCUCCCCCAGAGCAGCCCCUGACCCCAUCUGUGAAUGAGGCUGUGACUGGCCACCCUCCCUUCCCAGCACACUCGGAGACUGUGGGUUCUGGACAUAGCAGCCUGGGCUUUCCAGACUGGGACCCCAACAC
rnacentral:sRNA from 1 species